UUCUAGAUGCUGCAAGGAUCAGAUCAAACAUGAACCUCUGCUCUCAUUUGAACAUCUGAACGUCUGGACUUAAAGCUGGUGCUCCUCAGGGAAUCAAUGAUCAAGACUUUGUCUUGCCAUCCAUUGCCAUCACUGAGGCAAACAGGAUUUGGGGCACUAGCCCAGUAGGAUCACUGACUGUGAAAGCCUGUUUUGGCCACUGCUUCGGAGAGAACACUGAGCUUCAAUUUCAGGAUGUUAGCCCUGGCACAGGCACCAGGACAGAGAGUGAGAGGGUGCUAAGGCGUGUGUGGCCUUUGUAAUUCUGCUCACCCACAGACCGAUGGACUGAAAAUCAUGCGUGAGUUUGCCUUAAUUUUUCUGCUGCGGAGCAUGAAUGUUUCUGCCUCAGCAGCCCGGAGAACCCCUGGGGAUAUAGCCUUUUCAAGUCAGUCACCUAAAAGCCACCAGGGGUCGGUUAGGAGAUUUCUUAGCUUGAAAAUGUAAAGAGGAGUCAAGCAAAAUGAAAAAUAUAAAAAUGUUAUUAAAAUCCCCUGCAACAAAUAUGGAUGCUUUAAGAAUUUCAGGGUACUUUGUGGAGGGGAGCCCAUCCAAUUGCUUCUCACUAGGGAAUCUUGCACAUGAAACCCUUGACAGCACCAAAUUGAUGGCUCACUCCUUAAACCCUGGGUGAAGAAUGAUGACAUGGGCAAAUAAAUAUUAAUGAAGCCAUCUAGGGCAUCAAUAUUUAUAAAGGACUAUUAAUGUGUAAAAGGCAGAGGGCAGGAGGGGAUAGAGGGCACCCUCUGCCUUUAGCUGCUACCUGGCUGCAAAGGAACUCUUAACGAAACUACCUCCCCAGAAACCCAUUCUCUCCCCACUCCCAGCCCUUCUAGACCUCAUUAUUUAGAGCCAACCUCUUGUUUUUACCAAAGGUACAUUUUGGUUACCCAUCGCUAAAUAUCUCCUCCUCCCAUCUUCAUGGCAAAUAUCUAAUCCAGCA